CAAGGCUGAGGCGUGAUGACGAGGCACUACGGUGCUGAAGCAACAAAUGCCCUGCUUCCAGGAAAAGCCUCUAAGCAUCAGGUAACAUCAAAUCGUACCCCAAACCGACACAGGUGGUCAGGUAGAGAAUACCAAGGCGCUUGAGAGAACUCGGGUGAAGGAACUAGGCAAAAUGGUGCCGUAACUUCGGGAGAAGGCACGCUGAUAUGUAGGUGAAGUCCCUCGCGGAUGGAGCUGAAAUCAGUCGAAGAUACCAGCUGGCUGCAACUGUUUAUUAAAAACACAGCACUGUGCAAACACGAAAGUGGACGUAUACGGUGUGACGCCUGCCCGGUGCCGGAAGGUUAAUUGAUGGGGUUAGCCGCAAGGCGAAGCUCUUGAUCGAAGCCCCGGUAAACGGCGGCCGUAACUAUAACGGUCCUAAGGUAGCGAAAUUCCUUGUCGGGUAAGUUCCGACCUGCACGAAUGGCGUAAUGAUGGCCAGGCUGUCUCCACCCGAGACUCAGUGAAAUUGAACUCGCUGUGAAGAUGCAGUGUACCCGCGGCAAGACGGAAAGACCCCGUGAACCUUUACUAUAGCUUGACACUGAACAUUGAGCCUUGAUGUGUAGGAUAGGUGGGAGGCUUAGAAGUGUGGACGCCAGUCUGCAUGGAGCCGACCUUGAAAUACCACCCUUUAAUGUUUGAUGUUCUAACGUUGACCCGUAAUCCGGGUUGCGGACAGUGUCUGGUGGGUAGUUUGACUGGGGCGGUCUCCUCCUAAAGAGUAACGGAGGAGCACGAAGGUUGGCUAAUCCUGGUCGGACAUCAGGAGGUUAGUGCAAUGGCAUAAGCCAGCUUGACUGCGAGCGUGACGGCGCGAGCAGGUGCGAAAGCAGGUCAUAGUGAUCCGGUGGUUCUGAAUGGAAGGGCCAUCGCUCAACGGAUAAAAGGUACUCCGGGGAUAACAGGCUGAUACCGCCCAAGAGUUCAUAUCGACGGCGGUGUUUGGCACCUCGAUGUCGGCUCAUCACAUCCUGGGGCUGAAGUAGGUCCCAAGGGUAUGGCUGUUCGCCAUUUAAAGUGGUACGCGAGCUGGGUUUAGAACGUCGUGAGACAGUUCGGUCCCUAUCUGCCGUGGGCGCUGGAGAACUGAGGGGGGCUGCUCCUAGUACGAGAGGACCGGAGUGGACGCAUCACUGGUGUUCGGGUUGUCAUGCCAAUGGCACUGCCCGGUAGCUAAAUGCGGAAGAGAUAAGUGCUGAAAGCAUCUAAGCACGAAACUUGCCCCGAGAUGAGUUCUCCCUGACUCCUUGAGAGUCCUGAAGGAACGUUGAAGACGACGACGUUGAUAGGCCGGGUGUGUAAGCGCAGCGAUGCGUUGAGCUAACCGGUACUAAUGAACCGUGAGG
rnacentral:rRNA from 1 species